UACGUAGGGUGCGAGCGUUAAUCGGAAUUACUGGGCGUAAAGCGUGCGCAGGCGGUAAUGUAAGACAGAUGUGAAAUCCCCGGGCUCAACCUGGGAACUGCAUUUGUGACUGCAUUGCUGGAGUGCGGCAGAGGGGGAUGGAAUUCCGCGUGUAGCAGUGAAAUGCGUAGAUAUGCGGAGGAACACCGAUGGCGAAGGCAAUCCCCUGGGCCUGCACUGACGCUCAUGCACGAAAGCGUGGGGAGCAAACAGG
rnacentral:rRNA from 1 species